AGAGUUUGAUCAUGGCUCAGAUUGAACGCUGGCGGAAUGCUUUACACAUGCAAGUCGAACGAUGAACCCUAGCUUGCUAGGGGGAUUAGUGGCGAACGGGUGAGUAAUAUAUCGGAACGUGCCUUGUAAUGGGGGAUAACUAGUCGAAAGAUUAGCUAAUACCGCAUACGCCCUGAGGGGGAAAGUAGGGGAUCUUCGGACCUUACGUUAUAAGAGCGGCCGAUAUCUGAUUAGCUAGUUGGUGGGGUAAUGGCCUACCAAGGCGACGAUCAGUAGCUGGUCUGAGAGGACGACCAGCCACACUGGAACUGAGACACGGUCCAGACUCCUACGGGAGGCAGCAGUGGGGAAUUUUGGACAAUGGGCGCAAGCCUGAUCCAGCCAUUCCGCGUGAGUGAAGAAGGCCUUCGGGUUGUAAAGCUCUUUCGCAAGGGAAGAAAACUUACCAUCGAAUAAAUGGUGAGGCUGACGGUACCUUGAUAAGAAGCACCGGCUAACUACGUGCCAGCAGCCGCGGUAAUACGUAGGGUGCGAGCGUUAAUCGGAAUUACUGGGCGUAAAGCGUGCGCAGGCGGUUUGGCAAGUCAGAUGUGAAAUCCCCGAGCUCAACUUGGGAACUGCGUUUGAAACUGCCAGACUAGAAUAUGUCAGAGGGGGGUAGAAUUCCACGUGUAGCAGUGAAAUGCGUAGAGAUGUGGAGGAAUACCAAUGGCGAAGGCAGCCCCCUGGGAUAAUAUUGACGCUCAUGCACGAAAGCGUGGGGAGCAAACAGGAUUAGAUACCCUGGUAGUCCACGCCCUAAACGAUGUCUACUAGUUGUUGGUGGAGUAAAAUCCAUGAGUAACGCAGCUAACGCGUGAAGUAGACCGCCUGGGGAGUACGGUCGCAAGAUUAAAACUCAAAGGAUUGACGGGGCCCGCACAAGCGGUGGAUUAUGUGGAUUAAUUCGAUGCACGCGAAAACCUUACUGGCUUGACUGGCACUAACGAAGCAAAGAAGCAUUAUGUGGCCCUAAGGAAAGUGACACAGGGCUGCAUGGUGUCGCCACUCUGUCGUGAGAGGUGGGGUUAAUUCGACAAAACAACUUGGCGUAAUUGCCCCCAUUAA
rnacentral:rRNA from 1 species